rnacentral:rRNA from 1 species
AGCUUCAGUAGCGUAUAUUAAAGUUGUUGCAGUUAAAAAGCUCGUAGUCGCAUUUCUGGCGAGAGGAUCCGGUCCGACCUUUUGGUGGGUUCUUGGGUCUCUUUCGCCAUCCUUGAGUGGUCCGUUCUGGCAUUAGGUUGUCGGAGCGUCAGCCGCUCAUCGUUUACUGUGAGAAAAUUAGAGUGUUCAAAGCAGGCUUAUGCCGUUGAAUAUAUUAGCAUGGAAUAAUAAGAUAGGACCUCGGUACUAUUUUGUUGGUUUGCGCACCAAGGUAAUGAUGAACAGGGACAGUUGGGAGUAUUUGUAUUUCGUUGUCAGAGGUGAAAUUCUUAGAUUUACGAAAGACAAACUACUGCGAAAGCAUUUACCAAGGAUGGUUUCA